rnacentral:rRNA from 1 species
GACGAACGCUGGCGGCGUGCUUAACACAUGCAAGUCGAACGAAGUGGCGAACGGGUGAGUAAUGCGUGGCUAACCUGCCCUACUUUUUGGGAUAAGCCUUGGAAACUGGGUAUAAUACCGUAUCAAGGGGGAUGGGCUCGCGGCCUAUCCGCUUGUUGGUGGGGUGAUGGCCUACCAAGGCGGUGACGGGUAGCCGGCCUGAGAGGGUGACCGGCGACAGUGGGACUGAGCAACGGCCCAGAGUCCGACGGGAGGGAGCAGUGGGGGAUAUUGCACAAAGGGCGAAAGACUGAUGCAGCGACGCCGCGUGGGGGAUGAAGGCUUUCGGGUUGUAAACCUCUUUCGCUAUAGAACGGGUAGGUGGAGAAGAAGCGCCGGCUAACUACGUGCCAGCCGCCGCGGUAAUUC